rnacentral:lncRNA from 1 species
UAACGAAUCAAACAACCCCCAAUCUAUAGUCUAAGCUUUUUGAAAGGGAUUUGAGGAACCGAAGACAGUUUUCAGGCGCCUGUUUUUUUAGGAAAAGUGAACUAUUUAACUACCUAGCUUAUAAAAAACUAUUAGCUAAUUCUCUACAGGUAUUGCAACUUAUAAAAUUUUUUAACUAAUCAAAAUGGGGAUCUAGUUGGGGGGCUCAGGGCCUAUGUUUACCAAUCUCCUCUCAGAUUUAGCUUAUGCCUAGAUAACCCCUUAAACUAACAUGUGUGAUGAACUCCGCUGAUUAUUUAAGUUGAUAUAGCUUGCUAGCUGCUUAAUAUGAUUUAUUUAUUUAUUUAAAUAUAAGCGGAGCUUUUUUAAGAUUUUGUGAGGUGAUAACGAACAUCAAAAUUUAUGUUUUAUUAAAAAAUACAUCAUCAACUUUUUUAUUAUUUUUAAUAAUGUAGGGCAUUUAAUGAUAGAUCGAUACUAGAAAGACAAAAAAAAAUUGUGCGAAGCAUCAUAAAAAAAUUAUAAUGUUUGUUUUUUCAAUCUAGAUUAUGAUGCCUCCUAUGGCCUCACAAAAUCUGAAAACAAAUUCAACCUGUACUUGGGGGAGAAAAAAAAAAUCUUGUUAAAGGGUAAAAUGGACUUGAAAAUUAAACAAUACUCACGAAAUCUGAAAACAAAACACACUUGAACUAGGAGAAGUAAAAAAAUCUGAAAACAAAACAACACUUGAACUAGGAGAAGUAAAAAAAUAAAUCUUGUUAAAGGGUAAGUUGGACUUACUGAAAUUGAACAAAAGUUGGAAUUUUAACUAUUUUUCUUCUUUUCUAAAGUAUCCUAAACUCUCGAGGCAGCGUCUUUGCGUCCUCUGUUGAUUUGACUAGUAACACAAAUCUUGGAGAAGAUUCUCGGUAAUAACAACUUGUGGAUCACACAUAGGAGAAGGUUCAGAAGCAGGCAAUCUAACAUACAGAGCGGAAAAAACGGAGGGAAGGCAUUUCCGUAUCGACAUCGACAGAAAAGAUGCUGUUACUGUUUAGUUUUCAUGACAUAAUCGGACACUGAUCACGAAGAUUAGGACCGACGCUACCGAAAUCAAAACACACACACACACACACUAGGGCAGAUCGAAGGCACGCACAGGCGCCGUCGCUGAUAUAAAGGAGACGUGCUCGGUCUGCGCUGCCACACGCGCGCCUUUUCACGUAGACGCAGUUCCACACCAUCGAUCGUUCUACACCGCGCGCACCUCUUGAUCGGCGGCGAGAACCCUUGAUCAUCCACCGCAACCACACCACCUCGAGACCGGCGGCAUGGCCACCAACGACGACGAUGACGUCUUCCGGCCCACCGACGAGGCGUCGAUCGCGCUCCUGCGCGGCCUCCGCACCA